rnacentral:rRNA from 1 species
AGUGAACGCUGGCGGUAGGCCUAACACAUGCAAGUCGAACGGCAGCACAGUAAGAGCUUGCUCUUACGGGUGGCGAGUGGCGGACAAGUGAGGAAUACAUCGGAAUCUACUUUUUCGUGGGGGAUAACGUAGGGAAACUUACGCUAAUACCGCAUACGACCUACGGGUGAAAGCAGGGGAUCUUCGGACCUUGCGCGAUUGAAUGAGCCGAUGUCGGAUUAGCUAGUUGGCGGGGUAAAGGCCCACCAAGGCGACGAUCCGUAGCUGGUCUGAGAGGAUGAUCAGCCACACUGGAACUGAGACACGGUCCAGACUCCUACGGGAGGCAGCAGUGGGGAAUAUUGGACAAUGGGCGCAAGCCUGAUCCAGCCAUACCGCGUGGGUGAAGAAGGCCUUCGGGUUGUAAAGCCCUUUUGUUGGGAAAGAAAAGCAGCAGGUUAAUACCCCGCUGUUCUGACGGUACCCAAAGAAUAAGCACCGGCUAACUUCGUG